CACUUAACACUCACCUGUGAUACUGUGCCUGCAGAAACUGGAACUCCUCCUUGAUGCGGUCGCAGGACUCGGACACAGUGAACUUAAACGGCUGUCCAGGCUGGUGUACGACCUCAAGUGGAACCAACACAACCCAAGAAGAAGAAGAAGAGAGGAAGAACUGAGACCUUAUGAAACCCAAAUGUCAAGUGAGGCGAGGGCCUCAUAUCGAGUCCUGUCAAUCACGGCUCUCGCCGCGCCUGAAGCCCCGACGCCGGAUUAUUGGCUUCAACACAAGAGCUGCAAGGCCGGCGGCCACGAAGCCUCUGACGAUUUGACAGCUCGGGCUUCUUUUUUUUUUGUGUGUCUUCUAAAGAGGAACUUCAUUUGGCAGCUGAUGCACAGGAGAUUGCAGGUUUUUGAGAUGGAUAUGAGUGUGUAUACUGUAUGUGUGUCUUACCCUUUCUGACUGCUAUUCAUCAGCAACAAAUCCCAAAACAUAUUGUUCUUGUCCAGUGUGCCACAUAAGAAGGUCUAUAUCAGCUGUGUUCCAUUUCAUGCACGUCCUUAAACGCCACACUAAGCACAAGUGAAGAGGUGGCUGUAACAUAUUAUGUGCAACCAUAAACCGUUGGGGGAGAUUUACACCUA